AGAGCAUUGCGCAAGGGAUAGCAGCGGUUAGCUCCCGCUUUUCGCGGGACUAUGAGCGAAUAGCCCGACCCGUA
rnacentral:ncRNA from 1 species